rnacentral:lncRNA from 1 species
ACAAGGACAAAAAACCAAACACUGCAUGUUCUCACUCAUAGGUGGGAAUUGAACAAUAAGAACACAUGGACACAGGAAGGGGAACAUCACACUCUGGGGACUGUUGUGGGGUCGGGGGAGGGGGGAGGGAUAGCAUUGGGAGAUAUACCUAAUGCUAAAUGAUGAGUUAAUGGGUGCAGCACACCAGCAUGGCACAUGUAUACAUAUGUAACUAACCGGCACAUUGUGCACAUGUACCCUAAAACUUAAAGUAUAAUUUAAAAAAAUUACAAAAAAAAAAGAAUAAUUGUGGAAGUUGCGAAUCUUACAACCUCUGGGAUAACGGCUGGUAAUAUUUAGAAUUCCAGCCCCUCUCAUUCUAACUUGGUGGCUGGUGGCCUUUUAUUCAUUUCACAAGGACAGUUUAGCUUUGAGGAGGGGCUAUUAUUUAAAUUAUAAACUAAAUUCCUUCCUAAGGCUAGUUGGGGCUAUGCCCAGUAAUGGACAAGGAGAGUUCAGAGAUUAGAGGCAAGAUAGAGUUAGUUAGAGCUGAUGUCUUUCACUUGUCAUAAUUUCCUUAGUCGC